rnacentral:rRNA from 1 species
CAGCCGCCGCGGUAAUACGAAGGGGGCUAGCGUUGCUCGGAAUGACUGGGCGUAAAGGGCGCGUAGGCGGUUUUGACAGUCAGAUGUGAAAUUCCUGGGCUUAACCUGGGAACUGCGCUUGUGACUGCACAGCUAGAGUAUGGCAGAGGGGGGUGGAAUUCCACGUGUAGCAGUGAAAUGCGUAGAGAUGUGGAGGAACACCGAUGGCGAAGGCAGCCCCCUGGGCCAAUACUGACGCUCAUGCACGAAAGCGUGGGGAGCAAACAGGAUUAGAUACCCGGGUAGUCCCUGUCUCUUAUAC